rnacentral:rRNA from 1 species
UACGGAAGGCAGCAGUGGGGAAUAUUGCACAAUGGGCGAAAGCCUGAUGCAGCUAUGCCGCGUGUAUGAAGAAGGCCUUAGGGUUGUAAAGUACUUUCAUCGGGGAGGAAAAAACAAAACUAAUAAUUUUAUUUCUUGACGUUACCCGAAAAAGAAGCACCGGCUAACUCCGUGCCAGCAGCCGCGGUAAUACGGAGGGUGCUAGCGUUAAUCAGAAUUACUGGGCGUAAAGAGCACGUAGGUGGUUUUUUUAAGUCAGAUGUGAAAUCCCUGGGCUUAACCUGGAACUGCAUUUUGAAACUGAAAUACUAGAGUAUCGUAGAGGGAGGUAGAAUUCUAGGUGUAGCGGUGAAAUGCGUAGAUAUCUGGAGGAAUACCUGUGGCGAAAGCGGCCGUCCUAAACGAAUACUGACACUGAGGUGCGAAAGCGUGGGGAGGCAAACAGGGAUUAGAUACC